UUCCUGCCCUGCAUGAGUUCCUGUCCUGACUUCCUUCAGUGGUGGACUAUGAUGUGCAAAUAACAUUUCUUACUUCAGGAGGUGUCCGGCCUCAGAAAAUGCUGCUCCAAAGUCCUUUGGAUGGAAUUGAAUGAGACCUAGAGGAUUCACAAGGAAUCUCCAUUUUGAAGAUGGUGGCAGAUUCAAGAUCAGAAGUCUCACAGAGAGGGCUCCUGCUGAACGCCUGGGAGAAGAAUAGACCAGAAGGAGGCUGGACACAGAGGCUGUGUGGGGCCACUCCAGCCUAUCACCAGGACACCUAAGCCUUCUGUCCAGUUGUGCUUUACACUGUCCUCCAGGCUUCCAAACAGUUUUCAUUGAGUCUUUGGAUGCUCAUUUCUGAAGCCACAUUAAAUCGAGGCUACUUCCUCUUAUUAACCUUUCUUUUUGUUGUUUGGAGACAGGGUAUGAUUAUGUAGCUUUGGCUGGCUUAGAAUUUAUCAUAUAGACCAGGAUACCCUUGAGUCCCUCCUUCCUCUGACUCCUAAAUCUGAGUGCUGAGACAAAAGAUGUGUGUCACCGCGCAUGGCAGCCUGUCUUUUGUUAUUAGGCAUGCUGGCUCUGCCUUUAUGGGGAGCAAGAAGUAUCAAACCUUCCUACUACAGAAGUCCCACGUUAAGGGAAAUCUAGAGUAAGCCUAGAUCAGAGAACGUACUAAUUACUAGCAUAGUUCUUUGACUCCAGGGAUAUGAAAAUGUCACCAUUUAAAACCUCAGUAGGGGACCACCUCAGUUUAACAUCAGGGAAGUGAAUGAAAUCUCAUACCGUAGGGUCAGGCACAGGAUGCUCAUAUUCAAGAACCCAG
rnacentral:lncRNA from 1 species